UGUAUUAAAAAUACAGGACCACCCUCUCAUUGCUUAAGCCAUAUUAUAGCUUCAUGUACUGUAAAGGCAGGGAUGUAUAUGAUUACUUAAGACCACUAAUCUCAGUGGGAUUUCAGGACAGAACAUCAGUUGGUAAGUUAUACCAGACUAGGGGCUCACCCCUCCUUAGAUUGAAGUCCAAAUAAAAAUCUGCAUCAUUGGAUCAAAGGCCACAUAUGUGUGAUCAUCAUCAAUAAAUGAUCAUAAAGUGUGUAUGAACUGCUCUUGCCAUCCUCAUAAUAUGUAACUUCAUGACAUCAUAUCUCUAGAAAGGUGUAAUACAAUGCAAAAGAGCAAGAGGGGUAAGGCCUUGAAUCACCACUAACUUCUGACCUCAGCAAGUACCAGUGGUGUAACAAUAAUCUCGUAAGUGAGAAGGUAUAGAAAAUGUAUUCACAAGUAAAUUCUAAAGUGUGGAGCAAGUGCAAACUGUUGUUGUAUAUUAAAGGCUGGGAAGAAACAAUAUUGAAGAAAUAAUGAUUUUAAUGCAUUUAGGGCUUUCCCCUUUGAUAUUUUA
rnacentral:lncRNA from 1 species